AUUGAACGCUAGCGGGAUGCCUUACACAUGCAAGUCGAACGGAGUGACGAACGGGUGAGUAAUGUAUCGGAACGUGCACAGUAGAGGGAGAUAACUAAGCGAAAGAGUCGCUAAUAACGCAUACUAUUGGAGCGGCCGAUAGCGGAUUAGCUAGUUGGUGUGGGAACGGCUCACCAAGGCGACUAUCCGUAGCUGGUGUGAGAGGACGAUCAGCCACACUGGGACGGAGACACGGCCCAGACGCCUACGGGAGGCAGCAGUGGGGAAUUUUGGACAAUGGGGGAAACCCUGAUGCAGCCAUGCCGCGUGUGCGAUGAAGGCCUUCGGGUUGUAAAGCACUUUUGGCAGGAAAGCGGUACCUGCAGAAUAAGCACCGGCUAACUACGUGCCAGCAGCCGCGGUAAUAC
rnacentral:rRNA from 1 species